GAAGCAAGCCAGACAGCCGCUGGUCGAUGCAGCAAUGCGUUGGCGGGAGGAAGGUCCGGACUCCAUAGAGCGGGGUGACGGUUAACGGCCGUCCGCCGAAAGCCCUUCGGGGUAUAAGGCGAGGAACAGGGCCACAGAGACGAGCGUAUUAAGUUACGGUGAAACGCGGUAACCUCCACCUGGUGCAAUUUCAAAUAGGCACGCGAUGAUGCUGCUCGCGGAGCGUGCGGGUAGAAAGCUUGAGCGGUGGAGUAAUCCAUCGCCUAGAGGAAUGGCUGUCAUAGCGCUUCGGCGCCGUAACAAAAUCCGGCCUAUCGGCUUGCUUCACUA
rnacentral:RNase_P_RNA from 1 species